CUCAGGAUGAACGCUAGCGGCAGGCUUAAUACAUGCAAGUCGUGGGGCAGCAUGAGUAGCAAUACUUGAUGGCGACCGGCAAACGGGUGAGGAACACGUACACAACCUUCCUUCAAGCGGGGAAUAGCCCAGAGAAAUUUGGAUUAAUACCCCAUAAUAUAUUUGAUAAGGCAUCUUAUUAAUAUUAAAGCUUCGGCACUUGAUGAUGGGUGUGCGGCUGAUUAGAUAGUUGGCGGGUAACGGCCCACCAAGUCUACGAUCAGUAGCUGAUGUGAGAGCAUGAUCAGCCACACGGGCACUGAGACACGGGCCCGACUCCUACGGGAGGCAGCAGUAAGGAAUAUUGGACAAUGGACGAAAGUCUGAUCCAGCCAUGCCGCGUGAAGGAUUAAGGUCCUCUGGAUUGUAAACUUCUUUUAUAUGGGACGAAAAAAGGGCAUUCUUGUUCACUUGACGGUACCAUAUGAAUAAGCACCGGCUAACUCCGUG
rnacentral:rRNA from 1 species